UUGGGCCUCUUGUUUAGUUCUUUUUUCUACUUUCAUUCUCAUUUUUGUUUGUAUUUUUCUUCAAAAUUCUAUCUUUCUUCGAUCCAUAUGGCCUAUGAUGGUAGUGAGACUCAGGGUGAAAGCCAUCGGACUAAUCAGAGUUCUAGAUCUUGGGUCAAGUCUAAGGUGGAACCUUAGGCCGCUAUUGCUUUGAAUUCUCUAGCUUGGUCC
rnacentral:lncRNA from 1 species